GAAUUCACUAGGAAAAUUUGCACAGACACAUUCCGUGGCUGCUGAGGAGGUUUGUCUGGCUCCUUCUGGAAGAUUCCUGUUGAGCUGAGUUGCAAAUCGACUGAGUUGAUUGAGCCAUUUGCCUCAAGAUCAAAUUCUGGCCAAAAUAUUAGCCCCUGUUCCUGCUCCAACUUCAGGAUGUAUCCUGAGAACCAGCUUCCCUCCCCUGCAGCAUCUCUGGCACCUGCUCUACUGUCCCUUCUUUAUUGAUUCAUCCAUUCAACACAAAUGUACUGAGCAGCCACCCGGGUCAGACACACCGCUAGGGACUGAGGAUGGAGGAGUGGACAAGGAGGACCCAUCCCUGGCUGCCGGGAGCCUACAGUCUAGUGGAGGAAACAGACACCAGAGAACUAACCAUACUGACUAAUGAAUGACGACUGUG
rnacentral:lncRNA from 1 species